UUGAACGCUAGCGGGAUGCUUUACACCUGCCAGUCGAACGGCAGCGCGGACUUCGGUCUGGCGGCGAGUGGCGAACGGGUGAGUAAUGUAUCGGAACGUGCCCAGUAGCGGGGGAUAACUACGCGAAAGCGUAGCUAAUACCGCAUACGCCCUACGGGGGAAAGCAGGGGAUCGUAAGACCUUGCACUAUUGGAGCGGCCGAUAUCGGAUUAGCUAGUUGGUGAGGUAACGGCUCACCAAGGCGACGAUCCGUAGCUGGUUUGAGAGGACGACCAGCCACACUGGGACUGAGACACGGCCCAGACUCCUACGGGAGGCAGCAGUGGGGAAUUUUGGACAAUGGGGGCAACCCUGAUCCAGCCAUCCCGCGUGUGCGAUGAAGGCCUUCGGGUUGUAAAGCACUUUUGGCAGGAAAGAAACGUCGCGGGCUAAUACCCCGUGGAACUGACGGUACCUGCAGAAUAAGCACCGGCUAACUACGUG
rnacentral:rRNA from 1 species